rnacentral:antisense_RNA from 1 species
UGGGGGCGUGUCCGCCUGCUUUCAGCCUUUGGCAAGUUGGUGGGAGCUAAAAUCAGUCAUCUUCCUGCAAAGGCAUGAGGAGGAAAAGAGAGGCAGUAACUGAGCGAUAAUAUGCUGUAUGAGCCUCCUGCUCUGCUGCCCAUUACCUGCGUCACCUCCACAAGCUACUGAACCUCAAGGAACCCAUCUCCUCAUCAGGAAAAAAAAUAAGCUUUAUCAGGGUCUGAACUCUGUAGGUCUUCACCACGGCUCAGGAGGAUGAGGAGCAGUGACAGGCCAAACUACGAGAAAAGACAGAGGGAAUCAAACUCAACACUGCGUCUAAACCUCCUCCACCACUGUUGAAGGGAUCCUGGCAUCAGAUGGGGAACAGCUCUAAAUCAAAAUAACCUCACUACUGUGCUUUUCUGUAAAACCAGGUAAAGAUCAGACAAGCAUAA